rnacentral:rRNA from 1 species
AGUGAAUCUCCUUCGGGAGUGAAACUAGCGGCGGACGGGUGAGUAACACGUGGGCAACCUGCCUCAUAGAGGGGAAUAGCCUUUCGAAAGGAAGAUUAAUACCGCAUAAGAUUGUAGCUUCGCAUGAAGUAGCAAUUAAAGGAGUAAUCCGCUAUGAGAUGGGCCCGCGGCGCAUUAGCUAGUUGGUGAGGUAACGGCUCACCAAGGCGACGAUGCGUAGCCGACCUGAGAGGGUGAUCGGCCACAUUGGGACUGAGACACGGCCCAAACUCCUACGGGAGGCAGCAGUGGGGAAUAUUGCACAAUGGGGGAAACCCUGAUGCAGCGACGCCGCGUGAGCGAAGAAGUAUUUCGGUAUGUAAAGCUCUAUCAGCAGGGAAGAAAAAAUGACGGUACCUGACUAAGAAGCCCCGGCUAACUACGUGCCAGCAGCCGCGGUAAUACGUAGGGGGCAAGCGUUAUCCGGAUUUACUGGGUGUAAAGGGAGCGCAGGCGGUGCGGCAAGUCUGAUGUGAAAGCCCGGGGCUCAACCCCGGGACUGCAUUGGAAACUGUCGUACUUGAGUAUCGUAGAGGUAAGUGGAAUUCCUAGUGUAGCGGUGAAAUGCGUAGAUAUUAGGAGGAACACCAGUGGCGAAGGCGGCUUACUGGACGGUAACUGACGUUGAGGCUCGAAAGCGUGGGGAGCAAACAGGAUUAGAUACCCUGGUAGUCCACGCCGUANACGAUGAUUGCUAG